rnacentral:rRNA from 1 species
AUUGAACGCUGGCGGCAGGCCUAACACAUGCAAGUCGAGCGGAUGAAGGGAGCUUGCUCCUGGAUCCAGCGGCGGACGGGUGAGUAAUGCCUAGGAAUCUGCCGGGUAGUGGGGGAUAACGUCCGGAAACGGGCGCUAAUACCGCAUACGUCCUGAGGGAGAAAGUGGGGGAUCUUCGGACCUCACGCUAUCAGAUGAGCCUAGGUCGGGUUAGCUAGUUGGUGGGGUAAAGGGCUACCAAGGCGACGAUCCGUAACUGGUCUGAGAGGCUGAUCAGUCACAUUGGAACUGAGACACGGUCCAGACUCCUACGGGAGGCAGCAGUGGGGAAUAUUGGACAAUGGGCGAAAGCCUGAUCCAGCCAUGCCGCGUGUGUGAAGAAGGUCUUCGGAUUGUAAAGCACGUUAAGUUGGGAGGAAGGGCAGUAAGUUAAUACCUUGCUGUUUUGACGUUACCAACAGAAUAAGCACCGGCUAACUUCGUG